UCUAGAUGCAAAUAAAGAACUUGGAAUUAUUCCCCAAGAAGCUCCUUCUUCUGAAACCAAGAGGGGACUACAUGAUUCUAUCUGAUGACAACCAGUCUGUGAUCUCAGGGUCCGACAGAGAUGACAUCAACAGAAGCUCAGGCUAGAAGGAAGAUGAGGUAGCAGUGGACCUGGUCUGCCCCGCCCCCAAGAGUGACUGGCAGCACACACAGCCUGAAUCGACAAGAUUUUAAAAAACAUGUAUGUUUUGGUUUUCACAUAUUCUCCCACCUGUUGGUAAGUACUUUUGAAAACUUAAAUCGUAGACUCAUUCCUUUAUGACAGUUUUCAACAGAUGUUCCCUAUAUAAAAUCUUCUCAGACUACCCUUAACUUCCUCUGAAGCCCAGGGCUCAUUUCCGUCUGUAAUUCUGACAUCUACCAUCUUACAGGGGGUUCUGUAAUUACCAAGGCAAUGAGCACAAAUCCCUGGUUCUCUCAGCAAUCCAACCCUCUGAAGCAAGAAAUUGCACCCCUCUGCCAAACAGUAUCUUGCUCCAUCACCCCGGCUAGAAUGCAG